rnacentral:lncRNA from 13 species
UGGAUACUAUAGUGACCCUGGGUGGUCUGGCUGACAGGAAGGUUUGACCAGACCGUGGCUUCAGUAGAGACUGUACCACGCCCUCAACAUGACACAACCUACCUCUGGUGUUUCUACAGGGAUGCAGUCUGGCCUACCUGCUACGGCCGGUAACCGUGUUUCCACCGUCUGGAGUGGCACGCUGGAACUUCCAGAGGCUUGAAGACCUGAAGCCAUGUGAUGUGGUCCAGCUCAACCACAGUCCUCACAGCUGCAUUCAUCAGCCCCUGCACCUGCUACACCGGCUGUGACAGGUGAUUAUCACAUACAUGUAUACACACAUGCAUACUCUCCCUCACUUGGGGCUCUAUUCAAUCACAUCCACUUUAGCUGACAUCCACAUAGCGGUUGUUUUGGUGGUGUCUGAGGUGGAACUGUGUUAGAGCUGUCAUUCACAAGCUGCUCCCUGGCAUUAUACUUAAAGCGGACAUUGCCAUUGGCUGUACGGAGUCGCAUUAACAGAAAACUCAUGCAGCCCUGUUUACAAGUUUGAACACUGGAAUGUGAGAUGUAAUCUACACCUUGAGUAGUCUGAUAGAAAUCAUCAUUAUUUAAUUUAAUUAUUUUUUAAUUUGAGCAUCAAUAUGUCUGUAUAGCCUAAACUUUCUCGUUUUGAAUUUGUAACACAGGUAGGAUGGGUGCAGCUGCUCACCGAUUUGACAGUUCCGACGCAGUUACACCUCAGCUAUGCGGGUGUCGGCUUUCAGGCGGUUAACUCUUCAUCUGAUUGAAUCUAGGCCUUUCUCUUUUAGAUCUGCCACCCCUAGCAGUUCAUCUGCAGUCACAGCAGUCCUCUGCUGUGGUAUGUAAAUUACCGGCUGCACCAGGUCUUACUAUACUGGCCGUGAAGGGAGAAACUACUGAGGAAAACCCAGAUGGAUACAGGUCAUUCAUAAUUAUAUUACAUACACUCACUCACUCACACCAACAGAUGUGCACACAAACAUGUUGUUGACCUGUAUAGUUACUGUCACUUUGUUCAUCUCUUUCAGAUCGGCCAUGCUCUCCACCACUGCCCGACAGCCUCACCCAGAAGUCCAUACAUGGGGCCUAUCAAGAAUGACCCGACCUCUCCCCUCUCUGGGCCCAAGGCAGGAGACACAGGUUGGGAGUGAAUCCAGCACUGGACGGGAGAUGGUGCAGUCUAAUAGCUAUAGGAGGACCGUGCAGAACACACACCACUGGACUCAAAUGGAACCUGGGUGAGUACACACAAACAAACUCCUUUUUCCCUCCGCUUUGUUCACAAAAUCACCCCGUCUGUCUGUCCUCCCCCGUCCCCCUGUGGUUUGUCCCAGUCCUAGGCCCAGUGACCAGCUGUGUUGUUAAUGAGUUAGCUCAGACCACAGUACCACCGGUACAGGGGGUGGGGGGGACCUCAACAAUCUGUUAAGGUUGGUUGUAUAAUUCAGUGUCAAGGGGAAUCCAGGCAGAAGCAUUCAUGGUGUAUGUGCGUGCGUGUGUGUGUGUGUGUGUGUGUGUGCAUGCUAGCUUGCUUCUUGGCUCCUUGCCAGUGAAUAUACAGGUAACUGCUAAAAUAAAGGAAACACUAACAUAGUGUCUUAAUAGGGUGUUGGAACCACGAGCUGCCGGAACAGCUUCACUGCACCUUGGCAUGAUUCUAUAACAUUCUGGAACUCUAUUGGAGGGAUGUGACACCAUUCUUCCACAAGAAAUUCCGUAAUUUGGUGUCUUGUUAAUGGUGGUGGAAAUCGCUGUCUCAGGCACCGCUCCAGAAUCUCCUAUAAGUGUUCAAUUGGGUAGAGAUCUGGUGACGGAGACACACACACCCUUUAAACCCCCUGUGCUCAUUUGAAACCCCAUUUUCAAUGUCACAGACCUUUUCUUCUAGUCAUGGUAGCCAAAAUAAUGGGCAGCUGGGCAUUUUUAUACACGACCCUAAGCAUCAUGGGAUGUUAAUUACUUAAUUAAUUUAGGAACCACACCUGUGUGUAAGCACACACUUUCAAUAUUCUUUGUAUUCCUCAUUUACUCAAGUGAUUCCUUUAUUUUGUUACCUGUAUGUGUGUGCGUGCGUCCAUCCGUGAGCGUGUUUGUGCAUGCUUUCCCACCUGUUACCUUGGCACCUGAUUGAUAAUAAGGGUGGGAUUAUGCGUGAGAGGCUCCUUCAGAUUAACAAGGCAUAAUAAAAUGAAUAAUUCAUCACACAAUUAAAAAAGAAGGCAGUAGAAUAUUUCCCCUGGGAUCGGAUGGAUGAAGAUAAGAAAAGUAUUGGACCCUCAGCUUUUGUGUGUGUGCGCAUAUGCAAAUGUCUCCAUGUUUCCGUAAAUGUGUGUUUGACUGAGUAACCUGGCAACAGUAUUUUAGAGAAACUAGUGGACAGAUUAGGAGUUCUGUAAUGGCAGAUUUCCUCUUCGUCUGAAGAGGAGUAAGGAUCGAACCAAGAUGCAGUGUGGUAAGUGUUCAUGACGAUUUAUUAAAAACGAACUGAACACUGAAAU